CAAGAAGCACCGGCUAACUACGUGCCAGCAGCCGCGGUAAUACGUAGGGUGCGAGCGUUAAUCGGAAUUACUGGGCGUAAAGCGUGCGCAGGCGGUUUGGUAAGACAGGCGUGAAAUCCCCGGGCUUAACCUGGGAACUGCGCUUGUGACUGCCAGGCUAGAGUACGGCAGAGGGGGGUGGAAUUCCACGUGUAGCAGUGAAAUGCGUAGAGAUGUGGAGGAACACCAAUGGCGAAGGCAGCCCCCUGGGUCGAUACUGACGCUCAUGCACGAAAGCGUGGGUAGCAAAACAGGAUUAGAUACCCUGGUAGUCCACGCCCUAAACGAUGUCAACUAGGUGUUGGGUGGGUAAAACCAUUUAGUACCGUAGCUAACGCGUGAAGUUGACCGCCUGGGGAGUACGGCCGCAAGGUUAAAACUCAAAGGAAUUGACGGGGACCCGCACAAGCGGUGGAUGAUGUGGAUUAAUCGAUGCAACG
rnacentral:rRNA from 1 species